rnacentral:tRNA from 1 species
GCCCGGCGGCGGCUGACCGAACUCGGCUACGAGGUACUGGUCUUCCACACCAGCGGUCCGGGCGGCCGUUCCCUUGAAUCCCUCGCCGGGCA